rnacentral:lncRNA from 1 species
UCCACAGGAAGCUACUAAAUACACUGUUGGAACUUUCCUUAGUGCUAAUGAAUGGUUGCCUAGAACAAGUGCACCUUUCUACCUUGGUCUUGGUGGAAAAUAAAUCACAACAAGAAACAAACAAACAUCAUAUUUCAUUCAUCAUUGUACCACCUACUUCUCAACCCUAGCCCCCCUCUAUCUAACCAUGCAAUUUUUGCAUGGGGAUGUUUUUUUUGUUUUGUUUUUUUUUUUUUUGGAGAAGCUAGCAUCUUUUUAUUUAAAAAAUUAGGAAUAAUAUAUAUUUAUGAUAGACACAAUAGAAUUCAUUUCUAUGUAUGUAACGAAUUCAUUGAUUAUAAGACAUGAAAAUUCCAAUGUUAUUUGUUCCUCUUAAUGUCCGUCUCAUUAGUUGUCCUUCCAAAUAUUCCGAAUAUAUAUUUAGUCCUUCCCUAUCGAUCUAACUGAUAUACCUAUGCUUUUUCCUUCAUUGUAUAUAAAAGUCAUUGACAAGCACUGUUGGGUACUAUGUAGUUUUGAUGAUUGACAAACUGACACAUGAAUGAAACAUGUUACUUGAGCUGGUCCACACAUAGGAAAGCAGAUUUUCAGUUUCACUGAUAGAUGCAGACAAGAUUGCUUAAAGAAAGGAACAAAUAAGCAAGCCUAAUUCUAAUAUACUCAAGUUAGUGAUCAUGUGGGGAAUAUAACAAGUUGAAUUUGAUUCAAACACUUAAUGAUAAGGGAAAGCAAGUUGAGUUGAAAAAAGAGUCCUAAGUGUAGAAGAAGUUUCACUUCUGAGUAUAUCCUGAAGAGUUCCAUGUGUGGGAGGAGAAAGAUUCUGAUAAAUAAAUAUGUGCUGAUUUAAAGAGUUGGAGUUUUACUACAACACUAAGCAGACAAGAGUUGGAAUUGAAGAAGGAGUCUCACUUGAAGUAGAACUCUAUGCAAUAAGAGUUAUGAUUGAAGGGGAGUUUGAAAUAAAGAAUGACUCUUUGAAGAGUUGUGCUUAAAUAGAAGAUGCAUCAGUCAGAAUAAACUACGCACUUAAAAAGCAGAAAAGAGCAAUCGACAGAUUGACUUCACGAAGUACUACUCAAUCACUGAAAAAACACAUUGAAGAACCUGGUCCUAAGUAUAGAAUCCAGCUAAGAGUUUUAGCAUUGAUUUUUAGAGUAGUUCAUUGUGUUUAAACUAUUGAUGUAAUAUUAGUUUCAGUGUGUUAUAAACUGAACCAGGAGCUAGUCUUCGAGUUGGAGAAAACUCAGAGACUUGGGAAACACAUACCUUGGGAGGUGUGUGUGUAGUUAGGAAUUAGAGUUUAUAAUUCCUAGUCGUUGAGUUAAAGGAAUUAGAGUUUAUAAUUCCUAUUUGUUGGUUACAAGAGUUUUGUAAUCGGUCGUUGUUGAGGCUCAAAGUUAUUUAGCGAAGUUGGGAUUAAAUCCUGUAGAGGUGCAGGUCGUGGUUUUUUACACCUUUUGAGCCAAGUGUUUUCCACGUAAAAAUCAUUAUGUUCUUUACUUUCUGUUUACUGCUUCCUUGGAACAUGUCAGGAAACCCGUUCCAUCGAUAGGCAACAGUUAGGCGAAAAUAAGAUAAUCAGUAGGGCACGUACUCUAUAAAGUGGUACCAUAGAAAGGUUGUCUUAAAAAGGGCUAGCACCUAAGACAAAGAUCAAUAUGAUGAAUUUCGCACCACCUACUGGUCACAGUAAAGGUCAAUCCACUAUUAGACCUCCACUCUUUGAUGGUUCUCACUUCAUUUGGUGGAAAGCUGGGAUGGAAACGUUCAUUCAAGGAGAAGACUACGAGUUAUGGGACAGGAUCACUGAUGGUCCUACUAUUCCAAUGAAAUUAGAAAAUGGUGAACGGGUCAAGAAGGUAAGAAGUAAGUUUACCGCUGAUGAAUUAAUGACAUUAAAGAAAAAUGCUAAGGCUAAGAACAUCUUAGUCUGUGGACUAGGAUCGGCUGAAUACAACAGAGUGCCAAAUUGUACCACUGCUAAGAAAAUUUGGGAUGCACUGGUCAAUGCAUAUGAGGGUACCUCUCAGGUAAGAAAAUUUAGGAUUGCUCUUCUCUUUAUUGAAUACGAAGCUUUUAAGAUGAAGGAGAAUGAAACCUUGCAUAAAAUAAUGACAAGGCUUACUGCCUUGACAAAUGAGUUGACUUCUUUGGGAAAAGUUAUCACUGUUGAAGAACUAGUUGAAAGGGUAUUGAGGGUGCUACCAAAAUCAAAAUGGAAUGUUAAAGUAACUAUUAUUAGGGAGGAAAAUAAGGAUCUCACAGGUAUGACACUAGAUGAACUAGUAGGGAAUCUGAGAACUUAUGAAAUGGAAAUUGAUGGAACUAAAGAGCUAGCAGCCCCUGAGGAUACCUUAGCUCUGAAGGCAUCUGAUAAUGAUGAAGAAAUUGAACUUGAUGAAAAACAAGUUUCCUUUAUAGCUAAAAACUUCAGCAAAAUCUUUAAAAAGAAGGAGGGAACAGGUACCAAGAAAUGGUCCAAUGACAAUCCAAAUAGAUGCUUCAAGUGUGGUAAGACUGAUCAUCAGAUCAGGGAUUGUCCUGUCUGGCAAAUAGAAUAGAGAAAUAAAAGGGAUGAAAAGGAAUUAAAAAAAAAAAAGAAAGAAUAUGCAGUGGUGGCAGCUUGAGGAUCUGACUCGGAUGAUAAUGAAGUUGAUGAAACAGUACUCAUGGCUCUUGGAGAUUUAAAAUUGGAGCAAGAAGAUGAUGAUUCUGAGGUAAGUAUAUUUGAACUUAAAGAAAAGUUGCAUUUGUUUUCUAAAAUAAAACUUAUUUCCUUAAUGAGUGCUCUAAUUGAUGAUUUCCAAGAAUUAACUUCUGAUAGGGAUGAGUUAUUCAACAAUCUUGCAAGUCUCAAGUUUGAUUUUAUUGAUCUAGAAACUUGUUAGAACACUGUUGAAAAGGAAAACUGCACUCUUAAGGAACAGGUUAGCAGACUUGAUUCAUCAAACCUGACCCUUAAAUCUGAAAUCUUGAAACUCACUCUUUCUGAAAAAAUAAAAAGGGUCAAAAGUGAGGAACAAGAAAAAAUUGAGUCAUAAUUGACUAAGAUUAAACAUGAAUACUUUUGUGAAAAAAAAAGGUUAGUCAAUUGAGUCAAGAAGUUUCUAAAUUGAAACUUGAUCUUGAAAGAGCUAAUAGAUGGACACAUUCUUCAAGAAUUUUUCAUAAGUUAGGUCAAAGAACUCACAAUGAAAAGGUUGGGUUGGGCUUUUAUAAAAGUUCUAAUGCUAUUAAAGAUCUGUGUUAUAUUUGUGGUAACCAGGGGCAUCCAACCAUUGAAUGUCCAGUUUCAGCAAAAAGCAAAUCAAGAAGCAUAAGCUUAGCAAAAAAAUCUGAUUCCAUGUUAGCACAAACUCACAAGAAGAUCAAAUCUGGUCAUAGAAACAAGUCACAUAACCUAUUGCCUCGAUGGGAUAGAAGGAACCUUAUAUAUUAUUUUUCUCAUAAGAAAGGACCCAAGCUUGUCAGGUGCCUAAAGUUAACCCCUAAUUUGUUUUGCAGGUGAGAGUGAAAGGAGGCAAACAAAAUUUGUACAUUGAUAAAGCUUGCUCAAGGUAUAAGACUGGAAGCAAAUAAAGUUUCUUUUACUCAACACAUUUAAAAGGGGAGUGGAUUUUUUUUGAGAUGGCAAAAAAAAAGAAUAACAGUGAAGCUGAUAAGCAUACACGGGAAGAUGUUGUACCAUCUGGUUCAACUAUUGUAUAGACUAAGGGCAUAUUGAUAGGGGAACAAUAAAUCAAGAAAUUGAUACAUCAAUAACACCAACACAAGCUGAUGAUAAUUUUGUUGGUAAUUCAUAAGAAUUGGUGUUGUCACAAGAAUCUUAAGAUAUCUCAUGGGAAUCAAUGGCUUGAGACUAUGGUAUUCAAAUGAAAGUAAUUUCACUUUUGAGGGCUAUAAAAAUAUUGACUAUAGGGGUUACUUAAAUGACUGGAGAAGCACCAAAGGCACUAAGUUAAAAUUGCAUUAACUCCCCUCAAUGAUUGACUAGAAUAACCAUUUUUCUUUUAAAUCUUAUUAGCUAAAAUGUUAUUCUAUUCAGUCUUGCAUAUUUAGUUGUGUGUCCCAAUUCCAGAUUUUUUAAUCUUCUAACCUAAUUUUGUAUUAGAUUGUGCAGAAAAUAGGUACAAGCAAGCAAUUGUAACCACAAAGUUCCUCUUAUCAGGUAUGCUCUACAUUGACAUAAGCAUAGGUUGUCUAAUUUGAAAUAGUUGAGCACACCCAUUCCAUACGUCACACUUCAUCCUCCCCUUGUCCUAUGAUGCUGAUGAAUUGGUUGACUAAUUUUUCUUUGACUCUCUCCAAAUGGUUGUGCACAAAUGUGUUAAUCCUACACCAGAAAUUCCUUCUUCUCUCUCAACCAAAAUAUCAGUUUUGUACCAUGGAUUUAUCAAGCUUGAUCAUCAAUCACAUGCAGCAUAUGUUUCUGAAGAAUGAAAAGGGACAUGCUCUCUCUUUUUUAGUUCCUAAUUGACUCAUAUCUUUUAGGAUUUCUCAAUCCAAGUUUAGGUUUGACUUUUCAAACAACAAUGGAUAUUUUUGAACAAAUGAAUCAUGUUGCUCUACCUGGUUCAAUAAGAAGGGCUAAAAUUCAUUGCAAAAAAAAUAAUGAGAAGAAUGAUUUAGCUGAGAUAAAUUCUGAACUAGAAGAUGCAUCUGACAGUCAUGAAGCAGAAUAAGUGGUUCUUCAGUCUAGGAUCAUGACUUUGAAGCUUGACCUUGAUUGAGAAAGGGAUGAAAAUGUUGAAGUCAUUCGUUAAUUGACACAGUUGAUAACACUUGUUCCACCUUCCUCAUCAGUUCCUCACUAUUCGUAUCCUUAGCCAUGUCCCACUUUUAUACCAUAUUUUUUAUUAAUGCUUAGUUGUUUUGCUUUGUUCAGUACUAGCUUAGGUUAAAUGUGGAACAUGCUCUGGCAGUUGAAUGGAAUGGUUAUCUUUGCUAAAUUAACUCAUAUUUUUGCUUUCUUUAUACAUUACUAUGUUGGCUAAAGUCUUUGUCAGAUUAUUUUGGUGAUAUCCCCAAUGGCCAUGAAUAGCAUAACAAUUCACUUUGGCUAGUAUUAUUGCAUUAAAAUGGUUUUCGAUGAUGCCAAAAUGGGAAAGAUAGGAGGGUUGUACAAUGUUUAUAACCCAUUGACUAACUUUUUUCAUUCUAGUGUUUUAUACUUUAGUGCCUACAGAAGGAGUUUCAAUUCUGAGUAUAUCCUGAAGAGUUUCAUGUGUGGGAGGAGAAAGAUUCUAAUAAAUAAACAUGUGUUGAUUUAAAGAGUUGGAGUUUUACUACAACACUAAGGAGACAAGAGUUGAAAUUGAAGAAUGAGUCUCACUUGAAGUAGAACUCUAUGCAAUAAGAGUUAUGAUUGAAAGGGGAGUUUGAAAUAAAGAAUGACUCUUUGAAGAGUUGUGCUUAAAUAGAAGAUACAUCAGUCAGAAUAAACUACGCACUUAAAAAGCAGAAAAGCACAAUCGAUAGAUUGACUUCACGAAGUGCUACUCAAUCACUGAAGAAACACAUUGAAGAACCUGAUCCUAAGUAUAAUCCAGCAAAGAGUUUUAGCAUUGAUUUUUAGAGUUGUUCAUUAAAUUUGAACUAUUGAUGUACUAUUAGUUUCAGUGUGUUAUAAACUGAACUAGGAGCUAGUCUUCAAGUUGGGGAAAACUCAGAGACUUUGGGAACGUAUACCUUGGGAGGUGUGUGUGUAGUUAGGAAUUAGAGUUUAUAAUUCCUAGUCGUUGAGUUAAAGGAAUUAGAGUUUAUAAUUCCUAUUUGUUGGUUACAAAAGUUUUGUAAUCAGUCGUUGUUGAGGCUCAGAGUUAUUUAGUGAAUUUGGGGUUAAAUCCUGUAGAGGUGCAGAUCGUAUUUUUUUUACACCUUUUGAGCCGGGUGUUUUCCACAUAAAAAUCGUUGUGUUCUUUACUUUCUGUUUUGCUACUUCCUUGGAACAGUCAGGCAACCCGUUCCAUCAAUAUGCAACAAUUAGACAAAAAUAAGAUAAUCAGUAGGGCACGUACUCUAACAAGCAUCAUAAAAACAAUAGAUAAUUUUCUAGAGGUGCCUCUCGGCCCUCUAGGUCAGGUUUGGAAGAGAAAAAAAAAAUUAAUGAGUAGGAUUUAUUUUUAAGGUCUCAUGGCAAUUUCUAUCAAAAAAGAAAUGAUUUAUUUUUUUAAUUUAGUGAAUAUUCAUCAGUUAGCCAAAAGGGAAAAUAUGACUCAUGUUGAAUGACGGGACAUAUGAACCAUCUUUUAAACAAAUGGUUUUAUGGUAUGUCAAUUUUAAAUCACAAAUUGUUUUUCCUUCCAACUCAUCUUUUUUCAUUUUUUUUUCCUUCCGCAGAUCCCUUUCGAUUUCAUUUUUUUACUUUUCUUUCCAUUUCAUCGUCUCAUUCUUUCUUCUUUCCACAAAAUCUCAUUUUCCCAACAAACUCUAUCUUUAGCUCAGCAAUAUAUUUAAUUUUGAUUUAUGGUUCCACAUUUUUCUUAGGUAUCUAUAACAGAUUAUAUUUACCAAAAGAGAUAACUGCAUAGCACAAACCAAAAGAAGACUAGUUAGAGCAUGUCCUAGAGAACCAGAGACGAAAAAACACAAUCUAAGCAUACAAGGGAUGGUAAUUCAGGAUGGCAAUUUCUUUGCUAGUUGGAUCAUAGGCUACCUCUAAUGAUAACUACCUGCAUUAGGUUACUGCUUAUUAUAAGGGGCGAGGGGGGAGGGGGGGGAGGAACAGGACCCUCACAUAAUUUAUUGAGUAUAAAUAAUAUGAAAAAAUUAAGUUCAAGUGUAGUAACACACUCACAUAGUUAGUUUAGUUGUGUAACUGAACAUGACCAUGGUUCAAGGGAUUUCUUAUGCCUUAAUUAUCCCAAUUAUCAAAUUUGAAAGAGAGGUAUUUUUUCUCCGUGAUCUUACGGCCCCACAAGCUAAGGCCAAUGUGAGCUUAAUGAUUAUUAGCCUUCAUUAGAAUUAUGUUAUGGAUGAGGCUCACUCUUCAGGCGAAUAAUUUCACUCAUCAUAUUCUGAUUGUGUGGCAACAUCACAAAAUUUAUCAUGUAUUACGUAGAAUUAGUAGAAGAGAACAAAAAAGUAAAACAAGUCAAUGUAUAACCCAAAUAUCAAAGAAGAAAGAAAAUAUAUCAAAUAGACAAAAUGAGCUAUCUAACCCGAAGGAGAAGUAAGCGAAAAUACAACAGGCCUAAAAGCAAGCCUGGAGUGCUAAUCUAGGAGGUUGGCCUAUAACAUGCAAAGAAAAUAUAUAGGAUUGUGGCGGGAUGAUUGGGAUCCCUCCUUCCUUAAUCAGAGGUUACGAAUCUAAGCUUUACUCAAUUUCACCAUAGUUCAGAGGAUUCCAAUGAAGGUCGAGUGCCAAACCAAUACCGGUCUUGCAGACAAACCUUAAGAGAAGUCUCUCAAUACCCUUUUGAAAGAGUAAAACAUUCGGCAAUAUGCAUAUUGAGUUCGGGUAGGUCAUAUCUUUCUAACGAGAUAAUUCAUCAAGGUUGAUGCAAGAUUAACCACUCAGUUAUUUAAAUUAUGAUCAUAAUAUUUCUUCACAUUUAGUUGCAUUCAAAACCACUCAUGUCGGCAUUGAGUUAUUGGUCAUCCCAUCAUUUUAGAGGUUAUUUUUGUGCCAAACGCUGCUUUUCCUACAUAUUUGUGUUGCCAUGCAAUUUAAGGUUACUACUCUCUUUCAUUCACACUAUAAAAAGCUCCCCGUAACAUAGCAAUUCAAUUAUCCAUCUAUUCUUCAUUUUACUAAUAAAAAUAUAAACACAAACGAGAGGAGUUACCUCGUUGUGGCAACUGCCAUCUUUCCUUUUUUCCUUUCAACAAUUAUUUUAUAGGAAAGAGGGAAAGAAUAUUAUCAAAAACCAAAAAGAGAAAAAGAGAAAAUUUAUAAGAAAAGAAAAGUAUAUAUAAGAAAAACAUCGAAACGAUGGUGGGAAAAAUAGUGGUUUCGUUGGUAUCACUGAUUCUUCUAGUUGGUGUGAUAGUGGGAGUUGUGAUGGUUGUGCACAAAAAUGGGGACAGCAAAGAUGAUAAAAGCACCAAAUUCCAAAUGAAGAAAGUGCAUGAGUUCUGUCAGGCCACUCAAUUCAAAGAUGCAUGUUCCAAAUCACUCGAAGGAGUUGCCAAAAAUGACUCCGCUACUCCACAGGACUACAUUAGUGCUGCCUUCCAGAACACUCUAGAUGAAUUGAAAAAGGGUCUGGCCGAGACUGGAAAAACUUCUGUCGACAAAGACAAGGACCCUUACAAUCAUAUGGCGAUGGAUGAUUGCAAGCAGCUCUUGCAAUUCGCUAUCGAGGACCUCCAGGACUCUCUCAGCGUUGUUGGUGAGAGUGAUACCCAGUCACUCCACCAGUAUACCUACGAUCUGUUGAAUUGGCUUUCAAAGGUCUACGCCUACCAAAGCUUAUGUGUUGAUGCCAUCAACAAUCCAGAGUACAAAUCUGCUAUCCAAAACGACCUGAUGAACGCUACUCAGCUCACCAGCAAUGCCUUACACAUCAUAGCAAAGAUGUCUCAAGUGUUGAAAUCCUUCAACAUUCAAAUCCCUGAAGGUCUCCUCGGUAACAGCAAUAACUCUCCUCACCGACGUCUCCUUGAUUUCACCAAGGUGGACCAGGACGGUUACCCAACAUGGUUCCCCGCUGCUGAUCGCAAGCUAUUGGAGAAAUCAAAAGAAGGAAAAGGAAAGGGAGGAAAGGUUGGAAAAGGUGGUAAUGCUGGUCCCCCACUACCCCCAGUCGGAUCAGGCCCAUUAACUCCUAACGCAGUCGUUGCCAAGGAUGGAAGCGGCAAAUUUAAGACCGUUGUCGAUGCUGUCAAGGCUUACCCACCAAAUCAUCAAGGCAGAUACAUUAUCUACAUCAAGGCUGGUGUUUACAACGAACAGGUCCUUGUCGAAAAAAAUCAACCAAACGUCUUCAUGUAUGGUGACGGUGCAGGGAAAACCAUCAUCAGCUGUGACAAAAAUUUUGGAAAAAUGAAAAUAACCACCAUGCAUACUGCUACAGUCGGCAAGUCUUUUGUUAAUUAUAUAAGCUUAAUCUAGUGCAUGCUUGUAUUAAUUACUAAUUAAUCUGCUGCAAUUUGGCUUGCAGGUGUUAACAGCGACGGAUUCAUAGCCAAGGGAAUUACGUUCCGCAACACUGCUGGUCCAGAAGGGCACCAAGCAGUGGCACUUAGGAUCGCAGGAGAUAGGGGGGCGGUAUUCGACUGCAGCAUGGAGGGAUACCAAGACACCUUGUACUACCAAACAGGCACGCAAUUCUACAGCAAAUGUGUCAUCUCUGGUACCCUGGAUUUCAUAUUUGGGAUGGGAACAGCUGUGAUCCAGAACAGUGAGAUCAUUGUGAGGAAGCCUUUGGGCGGCCAAAAAAACACCAUCACCGCUGAUGGCAAGGAGCAAGAUGUCGGAAUCAAUGGGGUGGUACUGCAGAACUGCAAGAUCGUAGCAGAACAAGCAUUGUUCGCAGAUAGGUUCAAAAUCGAAACUUACUUAAUGCGCCCAUGGAAGCAAUUCUCCACCAAUAUUUUCAUGGAGACCGAGAUUGGUGACUUCAUCAAGCCUGAGGGAUUUUUGAAAUGGCCAGAAAGAGAAUUCGAAAAGACAUGCUUUGUCUAUGAGUAUGCUAACAGAGGACCUGGUGCUAACACUAACCAAAGGAGCAAAAUCUUCAAGAAUUUCAAGGUCCUUAGCCCACAGGAAGCUACUAAAUACUCUGUUGGAACUUUCCUUGGUAAUGCUGCUGGUGAAUGGUUGCGUGGAACCAAUGCACCUUUCUACCUUGGUCUUGGUGGAAAAUAACUCACAACAGAAAACAAACAAACAUCUUAUUCAUCAUUGUACCACCUACUUCUCAACCCUAGCCCCUCUCUAUCUGACCAUGCAUUUUUCCAUCGGUUCUUUUAUUUUUUUGUUGGAGAAGCUGGCAUC